ACCAAAGGUUUGGCGGUGAUGGAUGGGGAUGCGUCUGAUUAGCUUGUUGGCGGGUAACGGCCCACCAAGGCGACGAUCAGUAGGGGUUCUGAGAGGAAGGUCCCCCACAUUGGAACUGAAACACGGUCCAAACUCCUACGGGAGGCAGCAGUGAGGAAUAUUGGUCAAUGGGCGAGAGCCUGAACCAGCCAAGUAGCGUGCAGGAUGACGGCCCUAUGGGUUGUAAACUGCUUUUACGCGGGGAUAAAGUGCGUGACGUGUCUCGCAUUGCAGGUACCGCGUGAAUAAGGACCGGCUAAUUCCCGUGCCAGCAGCCGCGGUAAAU
rnacentral:rRNA from 1 species